UUUAUACCAAAAUUUUAGAUAAUGCAAAUGACUUCUAUACCCUUUCAACCCCAAAACAUCUCCAUACGCUCCCUCUCCCAUCUCUAUUGCAAGAAUUGACUUACCGGCGAUGACGGAGUAAACGGCGUGAAGAGCAGCAGCGAGCAAGGAACAGCGACUGGCAAGAAUCUGACCGACGGCGAGCACUGUUCUGUGGUGUGGCGAGCAAGUAGUAUAUCAAGGCUAGCGAUGCAGUGGACUGAGAGGUGGAACGGCAGCUCAGGCGGCGGCGGAGGGACAUGGACAUGGAGUUUCCGGCAACCCACCACCGCACCACUGCCCAAGCCAUUCAACAGACCCCAAUUUCUAAUUUGAGGACCACUGGAACAAAAAAAUCACCGGACGGAACACACAUGAAUUGGAACUGAAAUGCAUCAGGGUCUUUAUGAUGGAGCUCAGUAAUGGUUAUGAACUUUGUUGGGUCACCGGAAUAAACACAGAGAAAAAGAGGUGGAGCGUUUCUGUUAGGUUUUCAUUUUGCUCAAGCUAGCCGUAGUUGGGUUUAGGGGCCUAUCUUCGCCUGCGUGAAGCUCGUGGAUAGGUACUGAAGGUUUUCCGUUAAUGGUUUGAACAAUUAUGCUCUACUCCGGUUGGUUCAGCCUCUGCACUCUCAACAACCCCACCGACAGUGGAGAGUAAUUAACGGAAACUGGGCUACUUGAUUGAAUUGGCUCAGUUGGUGCUCUGUGUUGCCAUUGCCGUCACCACCAACGCCGCAAAACUUCACUGCUGGUGUUGUAGGUCUGCAGAUCCUCGCCACAAGUCAUCACCGUCGCCACUGUCGUUGCAGAUCGUCACCGCUGCUGAAAUCAACUUUGGCGAAUGACCCACCAAUCUCAACAACCACCAGUAAAAUCAACAGCGCAACCAUCAUCCACAUAACCACCACUCACCCCCACAACCGCCGCCGCAUCGAUCAAGGCGACCCCCACCACCAAAACCCCUUUUAUUUAGUAAUUAGGCAUGUAGCUUGAUUUAUCUGUUGUUGAAAAGUUCAUUUUUAUUUAUUUAUUUAUUUCUUGUUUUUUUUCUUUGAGAAUGUUAGAUGCAGAGUUCCUUGCUUGGUUUUUAGCUUCACUGUUAUUGAUUUUGUAUUCCUGUUGUUUUGGUGGGUAUUAUGAAGAUUAUUGGUAGAGACAAGUUUUGUUG